CACCUGGAUGUCCACGGCCCUGAGGGCCACGCGGUUGAUAUUCAGGUGAAGCACCACCAGGAUGUCCACGGCCCUGAGGGCCGCGCGGUUGAUAUUCAGGUGGAGCACCACCAGGAUGUCCACGGCCCUGAGGGCCGCGCGGUUGAUAUUCAGGUGGAGCACCACCUGGAUGUCCACGGCCCUGAGGGUCGCGCGGUUGAUAUUCAGGUGGCCCACCACCUGGAUGUCCACGGCCCUGAUAGUCGCGCGGUUG
rnacentral:lncRNA from 1 species